GUUGACCUCGGAUCAGGUAGGGAUACCCGCUGAACUUAAGCAUAUCAAUAAGCGGAGGAAAAAGGAUC
rnacentral:rRNA from 1 species